CUUGUUUUCAGUUUUGCAAAGAUUUUACCAUCUGAAAUAUACCAUUUCAGAAAGAAAAGGACUACCUUCUGAUUAAGGCACAAAAUGGCAGCAGAUGGAGCAUCCAUCAAUAAGUCACUUAGGCCAGGCCGCUGUUGGUAAACCGCCAGGAGGAGAGGGAAUCGGGCUGGAGGGAACAGCGUGGAGCUAAGGAGGACAUUCACCAAAUCUGGGCUGCAAGCAGAUGUCCGCUGAGACCCGAAGUGAUUAGGUACAGAUGACGAAAAUUACAUCACAAGGGCUUUGCGAUCAAGUGAACACUAGAGGAGACUGGGAGGUAUUAAUUAGGCUUUAACAUACAGCCAGAGCAAGACAUGCAUUAAAAGACUUUAAGCUGACACUGCAGUAAAAUGUGGUUCAACAAAGUUUUGACUCAGAAUGGCUUAAUUCAAAGGCAUACUGGACUUAUGUGUAAAUAAAAAUAAAUAGAGGUAUGUUUUUCA